CGUCUUCUCCCUUUCUCCUCCCCUGUGUUUCGACCGACACCGACAAAACCCCCCAGCCACUGUCACGUCGGCCACCCAGCCACCGGACCGGUUAUGUUUUGACCGGCGUCGCACCCCAAGCCAGCUCCGACCUUCCUCCUACCUCUGCUGCUGCUGUUUUGCCGGAAAACCUCGAUUUUGAUCGGAUUUUUACUCGGUUUUCCAAUCCCUCGAUCUCUCUCCUCCGGCCCUCAAAUCCUUCGAUUGAGUUGGUGUUUCCCAAGGGUCUCAAUUCAGCUCCAGGAAGGCCAAGGGUGGCUCCAAGUAGUCCGGUCAUUUUCGAUGUGAGUUUAGAAUACGUACCAGGCCUUGAAAUUGAGGAAGAUGAAUAAGGGGCAACGAAGUUGGUCCCAUGCAGACGGUGGCGGUCGGUAACAGCGGUUGCUGGCUGGCGGCGCUGGAGUCCGGCGGUGGUAGGUGGCCGGUGGCGAUAGGUGGCCGGCGGUGAAAGGUGGUCGGAGGUGGC